UUAAGCAGUAUAUACAGCGUGUCAUUUC
rnacentral:sRNA from 1 species